rnacentral:rRNA from 1 species
UACGAAGGGAGCUAGCGUUGUUCGGAAUUACUGGGCGUAAAGGGCGCGUAGGCGGUUAUCUAAGUCAGAUGUGAAAGCCUUGGGCUUAACCUGAGAAUUGCAUUUGAUACUGGAUAACUAGAGAUCGAGAGAGGUAAGUGGAAUUACGAGUGUAGAGGUGAAAUUCGUAGAUAUUCGUAAGAACACCAGUGGCGAAGGCGGCUUACUGGCUCGAUACUGACGCUAAGGCGCGAAAGCGUGGGGAGCAAACAGGAUUAGAAACCCGAGUAGU